AUUGAACGCUGGCGGCAGGCCUGACACAUGCAAGUCGAGCGGAUGAGGAGAGCUUGCUCUCUGAUUCAGCGGCGGACGGGUGAGUAAUGCCUAGGAAUCUGCCUGGUAGUGGGGGACGACGUUUCGAAAGGAACGCUAAUACCGCAUACGUCCUACGGGAGAAAGUGGGGGAUCUUCGGACCUCACGCUAUCAGAUGAGCCUAGGUACGAUUAGCUAGUUGGUGAGGUAAAGGCUCACCAAGGCGACGAUCGUUAACUGGUCUGAGAGGAUGAUCAGUCACACUGGAACUGAGACACGGUCCAGACUCCUACGGGAGGCAGCAGUGGGGAAUAUUGGACAAUGGGCGAAAGCCUGAUCCAGCCAUGCCGCGUGUGUGAAGAAGGUUUUCGGAUUGUAAAGCACUUUAAGUUGGGAGGAAGGACAGUAAGUUAAUACCUUGCUGUUUUGACGUUACCGACAGAAUAAGCACCGGCUAACUUCGUGCCAGCAGCCGCCGUAAAAC
rnacentral:rRNA from 1 species